AACGCACCUUGCGCUCCUUGGUAUUCCGAGGAGCAUGCCUGUUUGAGUGUCAUUAAAUUCUCAACCUUUUCAAUCUUUUAUUGGUUGAAUUAGGUUUGGAUGUGGGAGUCUUUUUGCUGGCUUCUUUAAGAGGUCGGCUCUCCUUAAAUUUAUUAGCAGGACCUUUGUUGCCCUCUCAGUGUUAGUGUGAUAAUUAUCUACGCUAUUUGCUGAAAGCAACUCAUAAAAUAGGGUUUCCAGCUGCUAAUCGUCUCUUGUAGACAAUUUAUAUGACAAUUUGACCUCAAAUCAGGUAGGACUACCCGCUGAACUUAA
rnacentral:misc_RNA from 1 species